rnacentral:tRNA from 1 species
GGAAAUGUAGUCAAUUAUGACAUAUGAUUUGCAUUCAUAAAGUGUGUUAAACCUUUUUCA